GGGUGAAACGCAUCAUACACGACGGACUUAAAAUCCGUUCCCCGCAAGGGGAUGCGGGUUCGAUUCCCGCCUCGCCCACCA
rnacentral:tRNA from 1 species